rnacentral:sRNA from 1 species
AGACAGGCACAAUUGGAAUCGGCAGUAAGCCUAUGACACGGGCGAAAGUCGGCGAGGAUUCACAAGUCCCGGGGGCUUCAUCGAUGAUCGCGCACUCGAUCGACACUGUUCCUGCGCUAAUUCUCUUCACUUCCUCCUCGUUCUCUUCUAUCAUCGUUGAUGACGGAUCUCUUCGUCCUCGUCCAGCUUCUUGCGGAAUCUUCUACGGAUCUCGUUAAUGGUUGCAUUCAGCAGGACUGUCCCUCAGACAGUGGCUCCACGCCCGUUUAUCCUCGUAUCGCAGAUCACACGCUGGGCUUCAGCUUCGAGACAUAACUUAUGUAACCUACGCUUCGCCAAAAAACCAAGUCGGAAGGGGCUACGCGAGCUAGAUAGAUAGAUCUCGUUGUUGUUAGGGAUUU